GGGCUUGUACUGGUUUCGACGGGGGCUAUGAAGCUGGUGAAGCUAUCCGCAUGCGAUGCGUUAAAUGGCAAACCUAAAUAUAAACGCUAACGACGAAUUAGCAUACGCAGCCUAAUUUAGGCGGCUGUCGGCCCCGGCGGACCUGCACUCCGGGUAACCGGCAUCAUUAAUUGCAGGAAACGACACGUGCAAAGCUUUGAGCACGCGGGCGUAGGAUGAAGCUACUGAACGUACCAGGAUGUCUGUUUCCGGGUACGGGAGGGAAUGUCAAAGAACAGACUAUGAUAGUAGAAGAACAGGGGAUUGGUUUUCGGACAGGGGUUCGAUUCCCCUCAGGUCCACGA
rnacentral:tmRNA from 3 species